CGCCUUAUGCUGCAGUCGAACGGUUCUUUUUCGGAAGAAUAGUGGCAAACGGGUGAGUAACACGUAAGUAACCUGCCUCUAAGUGGGGGAUAACACCGGGAAACCGGUGCUAAUACCGCGUGUGGUGGUGGGGGUAAUGCCCCAUCACUAAAGCCUUCGGGCGCUUGGAGAGGGGCUUGUGUCCGAUUAGCUAGUUGGUGGGGUAACGGUUCACCAAGGCGAAGAUCGGUAGCUGGUCUGAGAGGACGGUCAGCCACACUGGGACUGAGACACGGCCCAGACUCCUACGGGAGGCAGCAGCAAGGAAUUUUGUGCAAUGGGCGAAAGCCUGACACAGCUC
rnacentral:rRNA from 1 species